UAAUACUCCAUAGAUUAGAGAAACUGGAAUGUUCUUUAAUCGAAAGUUCCGGCGCCAUAGGAUGGAUCUGCGGCCGAUUAGGUAGUUGUUGGGGUAACGGCCCAACAAGCCUGUAAUCGGUACGGGUUUGUGGGAGCAAGAGCCCGGAGAUGGAAUCUGAGACACGAUUCCAGGCCCUACGGGGCGCAGCAGGCGCGAAAACUUUACAAUGCAGGAAACUGUGAUAAGGGAACCCCGAGUGCCCGUAUACGCGGGCUGUCCAGGUGUCUAAAACGCAUCUGAAGAAAGGGCCGGGCAAGACCGGUGCCAGCCGCCGCGGUAAUACCGGCGGCUCGAGUGGUGACCACUUUUAUUGGGCUUAAAGCGUUCGUAGCUGGACUCUUAAGUCUCUUGGGAAAUCCCGCGGCUUAACCGUGGGGCGUUUAAGAGAUACUGGGAGUCUAGGAACCGGGAGAGGUAAGAGGUACUUCGGGGGUAGAAGUGAAAUUCUGUAAUCCUCGAGGGACCACCGAUGGCGAAGGUAUCUUACCAGAACGGCUUCGACAGUGAGGAACGAAAGCUGGGGGAGCGAACGGGAUUAGAUACCCCGGUAGUCCCAGCCGUAACGAUGCGCGUUAGGUGU
rnacentral:rRNA from 1 species